GGGCAUGUAGUGUAGGGGUUAUCGCGCCUCAUUCGCAUUGAGGAGGUCCUGAGUUCAAUUCUCAGCUUGUCCA
rnacentral:tRNA from 1 species